rnacentral:lncRNA from 1 species
GCCAAGAACGCAGAAGAGGAGAGGGAAAAGGAUCUUUCCUCCCCUGUGUGUCCACUGCGACUUCCUUCUCUGCCAGGAAGCCUUCUGUGACCACCUCUCCAAUUCUGGGUCAGUCUCUCUGUCCUCUCACCUCCAGUGCCCCUUGGGAUCUGAUCUACUCCCUUGACAGGCAAUGGCCUUGUCCAGCUGUCCAACGGGAAUACAAUGGGAAGAAAGUAUUCUUAAAGAUGAUUCACAUAAAAUCUGAACAGUGAUGAGGCCAGCUCCCCUGCGCAUUCUAACGCGGAGCGGAGGGCGCCAGGAGCAGGGGUGGGAUGACCCCGGGCCAGAGUGGACAAACCUCCUGUUCCUGGAGCCGGUGCCCUGCGAGGAUGCGGACGUGGGCUUCAGAUAAGAGUGGAGGCGCCUGUCCGCCCUGGGAAAGCUCUGCGCGGAC